AUGGACGACAAAAAUAAUCGCAAAAUAAAUAACUUUUAAAAAUGUCCUUCGAGUUGGAUGGGCAUGUCCAUAUUUGCACCAAUCAUUGCGAUUAUAUUUUAUCGCCAGACGCACUGUAAUUCGCUUAUAUAUCUAUAUAUAGGUGUAUUAUUUAACGGCGAGGAUAAGCUCUCACGUCAAAUUUGAUGACCUCUCACAAAUCCCUCGACCCGAGACUAAAUGUGCUCAACAGAGAUUACGCUAAUAAUGUUGCAUUAUCGCAAAAUGAUUAAGAAACGUCGCAGGCCACAUUGAAUCUUAUCGGGACACUCAAUUUUUUUCUCUGGGACACAUUUUUUCAAUCUUCUAUUGCUUUUCGUUUUUUCCCCAUUAUUUCUUGAACUAUUAACAUGUUUUCUACCGCCUGUCGAUCAGAGCGCCCCCUGGUCAAUGACUCUCGCGAUAAUUUUCCCCCACUUCGGAAACCCAUCAAUCCCAUUAUUUCGAUUGCCGGAUUAAUUUCGAUGCCAAUCAUAUUUCCAUUGAUUUUUAAAUAACACUCGAGGAACGAAAAUAUUUGAGGAUCUUCCGAUCAAGGAUUUUCGCACAUACACACUACACCGUUCUGUUGUUUCUCCCCGUUACUUCGCGAGACAUGCACUGGCUCUCCAUGCUCAAUGCUCGUCAUACUCCAUUGAUGGAUGUAGGCACCUCCGUGAACUUAGCCGACUGGUUUCGGAUUCGAACUGUUUCAAGGUGCAUCGUUUGUGGGGCUCUGAUUGUCGGAUCAACAUCGAAGCUUUUGUUGGAAAUUAGUUUAAUUAUAGAAAGAUUGAAAACAAAAA